AAAAUUGUAAUAGACAUACCGAUUGUAGACCUACUUGUGUGUCUACGGAACCGGAAACAAUUUAAUUUAACCAAAAUAAUAUAAUCUAACAAGUAUUAAACCAGAAAAGUUUUAACCUAACCGGAUAACUUUCCCGACAUAUAAAUACAAUUUUUAGUCUUCAUUUGGUAAAAAAAGACAAACCCUAGCGGCCGUUACUCUCUCUCUCUCUCUCUCUCUCGGGCGAUUUCCGGUGAAGUCAACCCGUUUCUGCCGCUUACACUGGUUGCCGUCCCGCUGCUGCUGCUAUAUCUUCCCUCUGUAAGAUCUGAGCCGGCGAAGGAACAUUGUGUAUGUAUGUCUCUCUAUCCAACUGUUGAGCUUUUGAAGGGCUUGAGAAAGAAGAGGGCCACCUCAAAACAACUAAUCACAACAAUAUUGUAACUUCAGCUCGUUCAACUUCUCUACUCUUUUCAAGAGAAAUCAUGAGUAGGCUAUAAGCAAUCUAGCUAGAGUAGUGAUGAUUCUUCUGCCAUAACCGGCAUUGACAGCUUGCUGGCAAGUGAGGUGCCUAUCGGUUAUCAGGCUGGGACUUUCACUUUAGAGGACUGACCUACAGUCCUGGCAUGGCUCGGUCUAGGCGUUUAAGAGAGAUUCUCCACCGGUUGUAGACUUCAAUAGCGAUCUUGAAACUCUCUGAGACGAGAAAAUUGCAAGAAGGCGGAAGCUUUGUAUCCACUGUCAAUACUGUAUCACAACCAACUGUUACGGACAUUGCAGCAUCAGUAUGUCUAUGGAGUUCUUGUAUUUUAAGCCAUGGCCACAUUCAUUGGCCAAGUCUAUGUUCUAUCGUUGAUUGCACUCUUUGUGGCCGCUUCAACUGCCCUGAUUGUGCAACCAUUUUUUGGCUAGAAUUGGAGGAUAUGAAGUUUUUGGUAAUAGGUGUUUGUAUUAUAUGCCUUUGUACUAGCUAUAUUGUAUUGUGCUUUUGUAUCACUGCUGUAUUAUGUAAUUUUCUUGGAUAUUCUGUACUGAAGUGUACUCGACCGAAAGUAGACUUGUUUAAUACAACUCCAAAUGAAUACAUCAAA